rnacentral:rRNA from 1 species
GCUUACGCCAUACCACCCUGAACACGCCCGAUCUCGUCCGAUCUCGGAAGCUAAGCAGGUCGGCCUGGUUAGUACUUGGAUGGGAGACCGCCUGGAAUACCAGUGCUGUAAGCU